CACGGGAGUUGUCGCUGUCUAGGAGCAUCUGAAAGACAGGUGUGCGUCAUGCACUUGAAGCACCUGAGGACCCUGCUGAGCCCUCAGCCCAAACUCCUUUGCCUGGCUUCAAAGACUUCCUGAGCUGGCCUGUUUUUCCUGCCUUACCCCGUCUAUUCUACUAUUUAUAAGGAUGGAGCUGCAAAGGUGACCUGCAUGGCUUGGUCCCAGAACAAUGCCAAAUUUGCUGUCUGCACAGUGGACCGAGUGGUCUUGCUGUAUGAUGAACAUGGAGAACGGAGAGAUAAAUUCUCCACCAAACCAGCUGACAUGAAGUAUGGCAGGAAGAGCUAUAUGGUGAAGGGCAUGGCUUUUUCUCCUGAUUCCACUAAAAUUGCCAUAGGACAGACUGACAACAUCAUCUAUGUCUACAAGAUUGGAGAAGAUUGGGGUGACAAGAAAGUCAUCUGCAACAAGUUCAUCCAGACGAGUGCUGUCACUUGUCUGCAAUGGCCGGCAGAAUACAUCAUUGUCUUUGGACUGGCUGAAGGGAAGGUUCGUUUAGCAAACACCAAAACUAAUAAAUCAUCUACCAUCUAUGGGACAGAGUCUUACGUGGUGUCCCUGACAACAAAUUGCUCUGGGAAAGGAAUUCUCUCUGGUCAUGCAGAUGGUACCAUCGUUAGGUAUUUCUUUGAUGAUGAAGGCUCUGGAGAGUCACAGGGGAAGUUGGUUAACCACCCGUGUCCACCCUAUGCCUUGGCAUGGGCAACCAAUAGCAUCGUGGCUGCAGGCUGUGAUCGGAAAAUUGUAGCCUAUGGAAAAGAAGGCCACGUGCUACAAACUUUUGAUUAUAGCCGUGACCCUCAGGAGCGGGAGUUCACCACAGCUGUAUCAAGUCCUGGGGGCCAGUCUGUUGUGCUAGGAAGUUAUGACAGGCUUCGGGUGUUCAACUGGAUCCCUCAAAGAAGCAUCUGGGAAGAGGCAAAGCCCAAGGAGAUUACCAAUUUAUACACCAUCACUGCCUUGGCCUGGAAGCGGGAUGGCUCACGGCUCUGUGUGGGCACACUAUGUGGUGGGGUGGAACAGUUUGACUGCUGCCUCCGAAGGAGUAUUUACAAGAACAAGUUUGAGUUGACGUAUGUGGGACCUAGCCAGGUGAUUGUGAAGAACCUGUCAUCAGGAACCCGAGUGGUGCUCAAGUCACACUAUGGCUAUGAGGUGGAAGAGGUGAAAAUCCUAGGAAAGGAACGUUACUUGGUGGCUCACACAUCAGAAACACUGCUGCUGGGGGACCUGAACACUAAUCGGCUUAGUGAGAUAGCCUGGCAAGGAUCUGGUGGCAAUGAGAAGUAUUUCUUUGAAAAUGAGAAUGUAUGCAUGAUCUUCAAUGCCGGAGAGCUAACCCUGGUGGAAUAUGGGAAUAAUGACACCCUGGGUUCUGUACGCACUGAAUUCAUGAACCCCCACCUCAUCAGUGUUCGUAUUAAUGAGAGGUGUCAGCGAGGAACAGAAGAUAAUAAGAAAUUGGCUUAUCUUAUUGAUAUUAAGACUAUUGCUAUAGUGGAUCUGAUUGGUGGCUACAACAUUGGCACCGUCAGUCAUGAGAGCCGUGUGGAUUGGCUGGAACUUAAUGAGACUGGACACAAGCUCCUCUUCAGAGACCGGAAACUUCGUUUGCAUCUGUAUGAUAUUGAAAGCUGCUCUAAGACAAUGAUCCUCAACUUCUGCUCCUAUGUGCAGUGGGUCCCAGGAAGUGAUGUGCUGGUAGCUCAGAACCGAAACAGUCUGUGUGUAUGGUACAACAUUGAGGCACCUGAGAGAGUCACCAUGUUCACUAUUAGGGGUGAUGUUAUAGGUCUGGAGCGGGGCGGGGGAAAGACCGAGGUGAUGGUGAUGGAAGGUGUGACUACUGUUGCCUACACAUUGGAUGAGGGCCUCAUCGAGUUUGGAACAGCCAUUGAUGAUGGCAACUACAUCCGGGCAACAGCCUUCUUAGAGACUCUGGAAAUGACCCCAGAAACAGAGGCAAUGUGGAAAACCUUGAGUAAACUGGCACUAGAGGCAAGGCAACUACACAUUGCGGAGAGGUGCUUUUCUGCUUUGGGCCAAGUAGCAAAAGCUCGAUUCCUGCAUGAGACCAAUGAGAUUGCAGAUCAAGUAUCCCGGGAAUAUGGCGGAGAAGGAACAGACUUUUAUCAGGUCCGAGCACGUCUAGCCAUGCUGGAAAAGAACUACAAACUGGCUGAAAUGAUCUUUUUGGAACAGAAUGCUGUGGAGGAGGCCAUGGGCAUGUACCAGGAGCUACACCGUUGGGAUGAGUGUAUCGCUGUGGCUGAAGCCAAGGGGCACCCAGCCCUGGAGAAGCUACGUCGUAGUUACUACCAGUGGCUGAUGGACACACAGCAAGAGGAGCGAGCAGGUGAACUACAGGAGAGCCAAGGGGAUGGGCUAGCAGCCAUCAGCCUCUACCUCAAAGCUGGGCUCCCUGCCAAAGCUGCUCGGCUGGUGCUGACCCGAGAGGAACUGCUAGCCAACACAGAGCUGGUAGAACACAUCACUGCAGCCCUUAUCAAGGGGGAACUCUACGAAAGGGCAGGUGAUCUCUUUGAGAAGAUUCACAAUCCACAGAAGGCCCUGGAGUGCUACCGUAAAGGCAACGCAUUCAUGAAAGCGGUAGAGCUGGCUCGAUUGGCCUUCCCAGUGGAGGUGGUGAAACUAGAGGAGGCAUGGGGGGACCACCUGGUGCAGCAGAAGCAGCUUGAUGCAGCCAUUAAUCACUACAUUGAAGCCAGGUGCUCCAUUAAGGCAAUUGAGGCUGCCCUGGGUGCCCGCCAGUGGAAGAAGGCAAUUUAUAUAUUAGAUCUACAGGACCGGAACACUGCAUCCAAAUACUAUCCUCUCGUGGCCCAACACUAUGCAUCCCUGCAGGAGUAUGAGAUUGCUGAGGAGCUCUAUACUAAGGGAGAUCGGACAAAAGAUGCCAUAGACAUGUACACCCAGGCUGGUCGUUGGGAACAAGCCCACAAGCUGGCGAUGAAAUGCAUGAGACCAGAAGAUGUGUCAGUGCUGUACAUCACUCAGGCCCAGGAAAUGGAGAAGCAGGGCAAGUACCGUGAGGCUGAAAGGUGAGCCGUGGCCCCAGAGGAGGUGUAGAGGGAGAUGAGAUUUCAAGGCUGGGAGGAGGAAUGGGGCCUGAGGAUGUGUACCCUCUGCCCAGAAGGCAGUGAUAGCAGGGAUCGGGUCUAGGAGGCCCCAGAUAUAUCUCCCUUCCCCAGGCUAUAUGUGACAGUACAAGAGCCUGAUCUUGCCAUCACCAUGUACAAAAAGCACAAGUUGUAUGAUGACAUGAUCCGCCUGGUAGGGAAGCACCAUCCAGAUCUCCUCAGUGAUACACACCUACAUCUGGGCAAGGAGCUGGAGGCUGAAGGCCGACUACAGGAGGCUGAGUACCACUACCUCGAGGCCCAGGAAUGGAAGGCAACAGUGAACAUGUACCGGGCCAGUGGGCUUUGGGAAGAGGCCUACAGGGUAGCCAGAACUCAAGGAGGGGCUAAUGCCCACAAACACGUGGCCUAUCUGUGGGCAAAGAGCCUGGGAGGAGAGGCUGCAGUUAGACUGCUUAAUAAGCUGGGACUCCUGGAAGCUGCUGUUGACCACGCUGCAGACAAUUGCUCCUUUGAAUUUGCGUUUGAACUCUCUCGGCUGGCCCUCAAGCACAAAACCCCCGAGGUUCAUCUCAAAUAUGCUAUGUUCCUGGAGGAUGAGGGUAAAUUCGAAGAGGCUGAAGCUGAAUUCAUCAGAGCUGGUAAACCCAAGGAGGCAGUCCUCAUGUUUGUCCAUAACCAGGAUUGGGAGGCAGCUCAGCGUGUGGCUGAGGCUCACGACCCUGACAGUGUCGCCGAGGUGCUUGUGGGACAGGCCCGGGGGGCCUUGGAGGAGAAGGACUUUCAGAAAGCAGAAGGGCUGCUGCUCCGGGCCCAGAGACCAGGCCUGGCCCUCAAUUAUUAUAAGGAGGCUGGAUUAUGGAGUGACGCUCUGCGCAUCUGCAAGGACUAUGUGCCCAGCCAGCUGGAGGCUCUGCAGGAAGAAUAUGAGCGGGAAGCUACUAAGAAGGGGGCCAGGGGUGUGGAGGGAUUUGUGGAACAAGCUCGACACUGGGAGCAGGCUGGAGAGUACAGCCGUGCCGUGGACUGCUACCUCAAAGUGCGAGACUCUGGAAACAGCGGCCUGGCGGAGAAGUGCUGGAUGAAGGCAGCUGAACUCUCCAUCAAGUUUCUGCCUCCCCAACGUAAUAUGGAAGUCGUUCUGGCUGUAGGACCCCAGCUGAUUGGAAUUGGAAAGCACAGUGCAGCUGCAGAGCUCUAUCUGAAUCUGGACCUUGUCAAGGAAGCAAUCGAUGCUUUCAUCGAGGGUGAGGAGUGGAACAAGGCGAAGCGUGUAGCUAAGGAGUUAGAUCCCAGGUAUGAAGACUAUGUGGACCAGCAUUAUAAAGAGUUCCUCAAGAAUCAGGGCAAAGUGGACUCGCUGGUGGGUGUGGAUGUGAUAGCUGCUUUGGACCUGUAUGUGGAGCAGGGCCAGUGGGACAAGUGCAUUGAAACAGCUACCAAGCAGAACUACAAGAUUCUGCACAAGUACGUGGCUUUGUAUGCAACUCACUUGAUCCGGGAGGGUAGCUCUGCCCAGGCAUUGGCCCUGUAUGUACAGCACGGAGCCCCUGCUAACCCACAGAACUUCAAUAUCUACAAAAGGAUCUUCACUGACAUGGUGAGCUCUCCUGGAACCAACUGUGCCGAGGCCUAUCAUAGCUGGGCUGAUCUUCGAGAUGUCCUCUUCAACCUGUGUGAAAACCUGGUGAAGUCCAGUGAGGCAAACUCUCCAGUCCAUGAGGAGUUCAAGACGAUGCUGCUGAUCGCUCAUUACUAUGCCACGCGCUCUGCAGCCCAGAGUGUCAAACAGCUGGAAACCGUGGCUGCCAGGCUUUCUGUUUCACUCUUGCGUCACACCCAGCUACUACCUGUAGACAAAGCCUUCUAUGAAGCAGGCAUUGCUGCCAAGGCAGUUGGCUGGGAUAACAUGGCAUUCAUCUUCCUCAAUCGCUUUUUGGACCUGACCGAUGCAAUCGAGGAAGGGACUCUAGAUGGCCUUGACCACUCUGAUUUUCAGGAUACAGACAUUCCCUUUGAGGUGCCACUCCCAGCUAAGCAGCAUGUACCGGAGGCUGAGAGAGAAGAGGUUCGAGACUGGGUGCUUACAGUCUCCAUGGACCAGCGGCUGGAGCAGGUUCUGCCUCGGGAUGAGCGUGGCGCCUACGAGGCCUCCCUAGUGGCAGCGAGCACUGGGGUUCGAGCCCUGCCCUGCCUUAUUACAGGAUACCCCAUUCUGAGGAACAAAAUUGAAUUUAAGCGGCCAGGGAAGGCUGCUAACAAGGACAACUGGAAUAAAUUCCUUAUGGCCAUCAAGACCUCCCACAGCCCAGUGUGCCAGGACGUGCUGAAAUUCAUCAGUCAGUGGUGUGGAGGGCUCCCCAGCACCAGCUUUUCCUUUCAGUAGUCAGUAGAGCUGAGGAAGAGUUAGGGCCUCUCCC
rnacentral:sRNA from 1 species